ensembl:lncRNA
AUGAAAAGGUCCUUCACACCCAUGGAUUUUGCCUGUAACAUGAGGACAAGUCGAGGACUUGUCAAAGGUGAGAGCACACCUAUGGGAGUGACAGGCUUCAGUAUGGGCAUCACCAGCUCUACAGCUAGUGGGUUCUCGGAGUGUGUCACACCCAGCAGGAGGCGUCUACCCUGCACUGAUGGAGACAGAGGGAACAUGCCCCUGCUCGGCUCUAUAGGUGGCCAGAAUCAUCGGAAACAGCUGAGCCGGUUUCCAGUGUAUGUGAGGAAGAAAUUUCAGCCUGUCAUGCAAUAGCAGGGUAGUUAAUUUUGUAAUUAAUGAAAGAGCUUAAGGAGCCAGACAUUAUGAAUACUAUUGACUGAUAUGCACAAUAUCACUUGAUUGUGAUUCAGUGUAUGGUUUGUUACCUGAUGUCCAGUCACAUGCAGUACCUUUAGUUUAUGGACUUAACACUGACCUCAACAUCUGGAGCAAACAGGACUAAUGAGCUCAAGCAUCCCCGUUAUUUCCUUUUAAAAAAUUAUGAAGAAUGAAAGCCAAACCUCUUUUGUUAUUGUAAGUUAAUGCAUUUAUCAUGUAAAGUAUAAUAUUUAUUUGUUUUUACUGCUUAAAUAGAUGUCUGCGGCCAACAGGUUGAUUAAAAAUUAUUCAUAGCCUAAUUAUUUCUUUUUCGGUGAUACCAAUUCUACCAGACUGUUUGUUUCAGUAAAAAUUUAUUGAGACUUUUAUCUGCUUGGUGGAGUCAUUUGCAAUAAAACUGUUAUAUCAUUUGGCA